CGCGGCCUAUCAGCUUGUUGGUGGGGUGAUGGCCUACCAAGGCGACGACGGGUAGCCGGCCUGAGAGGGCGACCGGCCACACUGGGGCUGAGACACGGCCCAGACUCCUACGGGAGGCAGCAGUGGGGAAUCUUGCGCAAUGGGCGAAAGCCUGACGCAGCGACGCCGCGUGAGGGAUGACGGCCUUCGGGUUGUAAACCUCUUUCAGCCCUGACGAAGCGAAAGUGACGGUAGGUGGAGAAGAAGCACCGGCCAACUACGUGCCAGCAGCCGCGGUAAUACGUAGGGUGCGAGCGUUGUCCGGAAUUACUGGGCGUAAAGAGCUCGUAGGUGGUUUGUCGCGUUGUUCGUGAAAUCUCACGGCUUAACUGUGAGCGUGCGGGCGAUACGGGCAGACUGGAGUACUGCAGGGGAGACUGGAAUUCCUGGUGUAGCGGUGGAAUGCGCAGAUAUCAGGAGGAACACCGGUGGCGAAGGCGGGUCUCUGGGCAGUAACUGACGCUGAGGAGCGAAAGCGUGGGGAGCGAACAGGAUUAGAUACCCUGGUAGUCCACGCCGUAAACGGUGGGUACUAGGUGUGGGUUUCCUUCCUUGGGAUCCGUGCCGUAGCUAACGCAUUAAGUACCCCGCC
rnacentral:rRNA from 1 species